GGUGAUAUCUUAAGUCGGCAUAGAUAGCUCUGUCACCGUAGAAUCAGUCGAUUUCGCAGUAUCUUCCGUUGGCAUCAACAGCACUGCGGCGAGAACGGUUGAUUACCUAUCCAAGUCUCAGUCAAUGAGGAUUUCCGGAUCCUUAUUGAUUGAGGUCAUCUUAUUAGCCUUCUCAGCGAAGUGAGGUGUUACGAUAUAUCGAGCUCGGCGCUUUGGUUGCCGAGUUAUUUUAUGAUUGGAUAUUCUCAAGUAGGAUUUAGAGUUCGGCAUUCGGACGGCCGAACCACGUUCACCAUUAAAACUUAUAUUUGCUUUGAGUAUUUGUGCCCGUACACUCUGGUGUCGAUUCGGCGUGAGUUUACUCUGACGAAUAACAUCACUGUGACUGAAUCCGACGACGACGACUCGUGAACUUCGUAAGAAUAGUAACCUUGUCUUCAGGUUCGAGAGCCCAAGAGGCCGAGACGUGUUCCUUUCUCGGCCGCAAUCGCAAGACGCAGAAGUCAGCCGUGCACCCAACGCAACAUCAACAAAAUUUACUCAUCGGCCGAGCUCGGCCGACGAGUUGGCACGCCCCGCAUUCACCGAAGGACGUAGUUAGCUUAUAGAUUACUCGGCAUGCGCGCCACGUAGGCUUGGUAGUUUCUAGGGUCAACAGAUGUGUAUGAAAGAGAAUAGUCUCAUGAAUCUAACUUCUUUAGGUCAUAUUCUCCUAUUCAUUUGACUUAUCGUUUAAGCGUAUAACAUUUAAUGAGAUGGCUUUAAAUAAUAAUCUUUAUCCUUACAUUAAACUAAUUUAGUUUAACAUGUGAAAUGUCUAUAAAGUCUUAUCUUAUGGUUGGGUUUAGGGCACAUUUCCAACAAUCUCCCACUUGCACUAGAGCUGAUCCGCCGUAUCAUCAGUGAUGAUACCUCUUCUGAAGGCAUUUAAAAAAUAGCUGAGUAAUAGGCCUAGACAAUGGAUAUCUAUAUGUUAUCCACUUAAGCAAUCUUGAGAUAAACAACGUCAUCAUUAUACAUGGUUCUCAAUCAUAUGGUUCAGUCUCUCUAUAGUGUUCAGAUCUUGAUGAGACCUUGAUUCCCUAGCUUGAGUUAUCACCCCAUUAGUGUCGUAUUGUGGGUACAGUAGUGACACUUUCUAGUUGGAACCAAAUGGAGAGUUCAUAAAUGAACUUUCCCAUCCAAACAACAUUGUUGUAAGUUUCUAUAUGGUGAUACAUUUUACAUGCAUGAUGGAACAUACUAGAGUCCUUACUUCUAGUGUUUCCAUCCAAAUAUCUCUUUAGUCAUAAUAAAGAGAUAUUUAAUUAUCUCUUCAAUCACAACAAAAAGAUCCAAUGAUGGAUAUUAUAUUAGAUUCAUAAUCUAAUACUAUUACGCUUCCGUUUGUAAUUUUGAAUCUUCCUCAUUCUUGAGGAACCUAUCCUUUAUUUCUUAAAUACUUAAGGACCUACUUGACAGUUGCCAUGGUUAUAAACAUGGGCUUGCAUUGAUAUCAUCUUGUACCGAUCUUGGUACAACUCAUAUAUAUCAAUGCUUUUCAUAAAGUAUGAUACACAUAAAUCACCUUUAUGCACAUUAUACAGGGCUCUAUUUAUGUAUUAUGUUUCUUUAGGAGUCAAAUGGCACAUUCUCUUCACGAGGAGCAACUUCCUAGUCUCACGAGAAUUGUCCUUCUAAUUGAAGCUUUUAACAUUUGAGAAACUUCCUAGCAUCUUUUGUCUAUGAAUAAGGAUUGAGAUAAUCCAAUUAUAUCCUAAAAUCUAUCAAUUAUAAAUUUCUAUCCCAAGCAUAUAGACUACGUGUCCUAUAUACAUCAUAUCAUUAUAGAACGGUCAAAGUCAUAACUUUAUCAAUGAAGAAUUCCUUUUCCAUUCCCAAAAUUAAUAUAUCAUAUAUAUGUUGAAAUUUAGGAAUAUGAUUAACUCCCACUAAUCUUUUGUAAACCUACUAAACAAAAUAUUCAUUCAAACAAUAAAUCAAAUUUAGAACCAUGCGCACCCUAGAGGUGGUUCCACUUGGUUAAUCCAUAUUGGGGAACCACGAGCAACUUAGAUGUAACUCCGCCUAGUUAAUCCGUAUUGGGGUGCCACUGCCUACCAGUGGUCACAUAGAUUCAUAGUUGGUCUCACCUGGUUAAUCUUCAUAAGGGAACCAUACGCAUUCUAGGGAUGACUCUGCCUGGUUAAUUUGCAUUAGGGAACCAUAUGCAUUUCUAAGGGUGACUUUGCCUGGUUGAUUGGCAUUGGGGGUCACUACCUACUUGGUUACAUUAGAUCCAUAGGUGAUCCUGCUUGGUUAAUCCAUAUUGAGGAAUCAUGUUGUCGGAUGGAUGCUUAUGAUUUCGCCUGGUUAAUCCACAUCAAGGAACCAUACGUAUUCUUGAGUUAAUUCCGUUGAGUGGUCCGAAAUCCUAUCCCUUGUUAUGUGCCGUUCAGUUAGUUCGAAACCUUAGAUCCUUGUGAAUGGAAAUUACUCAGGAAAGACACUUGUGUUUCCAAGGUUAUUGCUGAGAAUAUUGGAUGGGAAUUAAAGAGAUUUGCCUUAUCAAAUUUUGUGAAUCGAUACUUGACCAAAUUGGUUGAUUAGCGUAAUUUUAUUAUACAUUUGUGAGUCACUGAUCGAUUAUUUGUUGUGAUUGUAGAAUUAUGUUUGAAAAGAUUGUGAUAUAGCUAAAUGACAAAUGACAAUUUUGAUUUUCAAAUGGUUUCGUUAUGUAGACUAAAAUCUAGUGAGACAUGCUCGUUUUCCAUUGAGUAAUUCUAGAAUUCUAUGUUCUUGCUAGUUAAAGGCUUCAAGAAUGCUAGAGUUUAACAAAGAGUGAACUAUGAAUGGCUUAAUCGCGUUUUAGGAUACAGAGGCAAUCUAAUAGGAAGGUUAGAUGCAACCAUGAUAUAAAGAAAAAGUUACUUCGCUUUUGGACCAUUGUUUUGUGUAUUGUUCAUGUUUCGGAGGCAAGAUUUAAUAAAUGAACAGGUACUUGGAAACGUCACGUGUCGAUCUUGGACGUAUCUUGGGAUUAGGGCAUGACAAUCAAUGCUUAACUAGCAAUCCUAUGAUCAUGAACGUUUAAAAUAUGUGUACAAAAAAUAAUGGUUUCAUGAAUCUAACUUUUUAGAUCACAUUCUCCUAUUUACAUAUUCCUUGAACUUAGCGUUUAAGCAUAAUAUUUAAUGAGACGGCUUUAAACAAUAAUUUUUCCCCUUACAUUAAGCUAUUUUAGUUUAACAUGUGAACUGUCCAUAAAUUGUCAUCUUAUGAUUCUGUUUAAUGCACAUUUCCUACACUGUAUUGGGGUCAGACAGCUAAAACAAGAGAGUUCAUGUAUUAUCCCAACGUUAUUCUUUCUUGAAAUCAAUACAAUCUAAGCAUCUUAGUCUUGAAAUCAAUACAAUAUGAGCAACAUAGUGGAUGUAGCCCAGUUUUGAAGAGAGAACCACUUAAAAAUCUUUGAGUCCAUUUAAUUUUAGUCCAUUUCUCAAGCCCACCAAGGGUUUAGUAUUUUAAUUUGUUAACUUACAAAUUUUGAGCCUUAACAGUACGCUUUCUCAAGGUCCGAUUUAAUUGUCAUGGAACCUAACCUUCCUUUUUUAUUCUUAAAACUAGAGAAAAUUUUGUAAACAAUGAGAAUAUUAACAUGGAUUUAUUUUCCUAGGGCAAAAGCCCCUUGGUUUUUUAAAAUACACUAAGCAAGUAGAGGUUUGCACUGAUUAAUGAUUAACUUUGUAAAUGACAUUGCAUAGGCUAAUAGGCCUAUAAUGAUUAACAGUCUCAAGGCUCUCGAUUUUCGGGAUUAGGAAAAUAUUGGUAUGAUUAAUCAGUUUAAGACUAGAGUGAUUAUCAAAAGAAUCUCUAACAAAACUAAUAACAUAAUGCUUAGUAGUGGACCAACAAUGUUGAAAAAAUAGCAUGCAAACUAUCUGGUAAAUCGAUAUUUUGUGAAUUAGUGAUACAAGGAUUGAUAAUGUCAAUACAACUAAUCACGUCACUAGGAUUGGGAGUAUUGGAGCAGGAAAAUCGCAGUUUAAAAUCCUGGCAAAAAGCUCUUCCAAUCCUGGCAAAUCGCAGUAAUUUCUUCUUCUUUCUUUUUUCUAAUAGUAGCGUGAGUUUGAAAAAAAUAUUUUCAUAUCCGAAUUGGAACCAAUUAGCUCCACCCUUUUGAGCCCACAUAAUUUACUCAUCCCUUAGAGACUGAAUGAGUUGUUCAGAAAUAUUCUUUUCAUCCUCAAGAAAUUAACGGUUAAGGAUACCAACCAUAGUUUUGGAUUGAAUUGUUGGGCACAUAUCCUAAACGUUCAUGAUCAUAGGAUUGCUAAUUAGGCAUUGACGAUCCAUUAAGAUCAGUACAUGCUAUGUCUUCUCUCCCAGGAGAGUGGCUAGUCUCGAGUUAUUGAUGUGAUUGACACCAAGACAAGUUUGUAGGUGCUCAAUAGAGAAUGAGUCCACUGAACGCAACCAACAAGGAGUUCUCAUAUUCAUGUCACAUGAGAACUCAUGGUUGGGAUAAUGCAAAGUAGUCAUUUGACUUGAGGCAUCAUAAUUAUCUUGUGGUUAGAUCCUUGAUCAAAAGAGGUUGGAGAACCUAUUCAAUUUGGGAUUACAAAUGCAAUACGGUCUUUCUCUACUUUUGAUCACAUUGUUUAGUUUGAUAGUUUAUUCAUGUUUACUAUCCACGAGGUGUCACUCAUGACUUAUGGAAGCCCUGAAAUUGUAUAAUCACUAAAAGGAGAAUUGAAAGUAAGUUUCAUUUCACAAUCAACUUAGAAAGAGUUCUAAUUGCCCACUGCCUCACUAAAAGGAACCUAAUGGAUCGCAUACCGUGUAAGGUAAUGAUUGAAGGAUUUAACAAAGAUGAGUAAGGACAAUUAAAUAGUUUAAUCGUAUAUGGCAAGGAUUAAUUAAUCAUACUAAAGGUCCUUCAUAGGCUUUAAUUAAUUUCAAGUUAUGGGAUUCAAAAAUGGUUUUGGUCCACUUGCCUCAUUGAGUUUAAGUUGCAUGACAACUAAAACAAAAUGGACAAUAAACUCACUAAACAAAGGGAGGCCGGCCUUGCUAAGAAAGGGAGUGGUUUUGGACUUAUGACAAGUUUGCCACUCAAAUGAACGAAGGUAUAAAAGCAACUCUAUAGCCUUUUGUUCAUCAGUGUUUUCUUUAAGGAAAAAUGAGAGAAACUUUGCUCUCUCAUUAUCUCUAAAAGGCCGGCCAUAUGGGAGGUAUUAGCUAGCAAUCUUCCUCCCAUACCACUCAUUUUCAUCCCACCUUCAUCUUGGUGUCGAAACUUAGAGGCCCUGGACCUUGGGGACUCUUGGAGAAUCCUUUUUUUCCAUCCAAAUCCAAGAAGACAUGGAGCCAAGAAGUAAAGUUUCACCAUCCACAUCCACGGAGUCAAGGAGCAUGGAGAGCAAAGAGGUGCUUCAAAGGUAUAAAAUUUAUCAACUCUCUUUGUGAUUAGAGUAGAGUCUUGGUUCACCAUCACUACUAGGCUUUGAAGUUCAUGGUUUAAGUUUUGUUUUAAAAUGCAUACAAGUAUGCUUCUGCCAUUGGAUUGUUAAAUGCUUGCAUAUGUUGCUUAAUGAACUUUAGUUCUCAAAUAUUUUCCUUCAUGAAUAUCAACCAAACUAUCUUGUAAGUUUCUUAUUUUCAAAGUACUUUUACCAAAUAAUUGUUUAUUCCAAACACUAAUAAAAGGCUUAAAACGCCAGCACAAGAUCUGAUUUGAUCAUUAGGAUUGCCCUCAAAGUGACAAACCUGAGCCUUUUUAAUCAUAUCCUAAAACUCAGGGUGUUAAAGCCACAUAGCCUCAAACUUAAAAGAGAACUUUCUUUGAGGGCAUGUCCUAUACAAGGUUAAGCAAAUAGGAAUGUGGUCAAACCCAAAAUAGGGAGCUUAUGCAAAUUAAAAUCCGGAAAAAGGAGAAACCGGAGAUUUAAGGGUUUAAAAUAUUUUUAUUAUAUUUUUAGGGAACUGUUAUUAACACUUCAAAAAUUUCAUUCUACACUCUUCACAAGUGUGUUUUUCUUUCUAAUUAUAGAAAGUUUGAAGUGUCAAAUGAGAUUUUUUGAAUGCUAAUAACAAUUCCUUAUUUUUAAAUACAAAACUUAAAAGUGAACUGCUUUAUAAUGGCUGGAAGCGCUUUUUGUGAAUAUAUUUUUUGAACCAAUAUUUGGAAAAAAUGUAAGUAAAUCCUAAAAAAAAAACACUUAAAGUGCUAUCUACAAUAGUCCUUCCUACAAGAAACACUUUAAGUGUUUUUAAAACCCAAAAAUAUUUUUCUAAAAACACUUUCAAGAAUCCCAAUACUACAAUGAAACUUAUGAUUAUCAAGUGAAUCCACCGAUUUUUCUUUUGUUUUUUAUUUUCUUAUUAAGAUUCAAACAAAACGAUUGGACCCCUCAACAAAAUUUUCCAUAAACCGCAACCGUUCAAAAGGCCGGUGCUUUACUUUGGUCUUUCCCACGAAAUUCCCAUGCUUUUGCUUCAUAUGGUAAAAGUGCUUUUCAAAAGCCAAACAAAGAGGCACCAUUAAGUCCUUUUUAAUAGAGUAAUGACCAACUUUUAAAACUAAUUAUAUGAUGGGCCACUAAAGGAAAAUAAAUAUGUUAAUAUACUUAAAAAAUAAUUUAAUUGUCAACAACAAUACUAUAUCGUUUACAAAAUAUAAUCUAAAUAGUUAGCCUUAUUAACAUUAUUCUUUUUUAUAAGCCAUGGUUCAUAGAAUCCAAGUAAACAUGGACCAAUAAACAAAACUCAAUUUAUCCGGAACAUGGAGUGGUACACCACAUGUGAUUAUAAGUAAAGAGGAGUUUUAUAUUGUAAGUAUAUCUCUAUUUGUAUAAUUAUAAUGAUCUACCCACCUUAUGCUCUAAACACACAAAAAAUAUCUUGCAUCCUAUAUACUUCGUACUUUAAUCAAGGAAAAGUACUACAAAGAGCGUGUCUAGGCUUCUAUAUAUAUUACGUAUAAUUCUUGGGAACUUAUAAGUAAAAAUUGUCGGGAUAUUUUCCUUGACAUUAACAUAAGACAAAAGUACAAUACAAAUACGGAUGGAACAUACUUUAAUUGGGUUUAUUUUGGGGGGUGGUGCUUUUAAAAAAUUAAAAAAAAAGAGUUUAUUAAAAAUUUAAAACAUCAAAUGUGUUUGGUAAAAUUUAAAAAAAAAAAUUCAAAAACUUGUUGUCAAAGACGGGGAAAAGUGUAGAAAAGCAAAACAAUGGUCUACCAUGCUUCUAAAAAAGUUUUUUCAGAGCAUAGUAAAUAGUGCCCAUUUAAUUAAAUUUUCAAAUGAUAAAUAUACUUCCGCAUAUUUUACAAAAUUAUAAUUUUUACCCAUGCAUACCCUAUUUAGCAAGUAUUACAUCGUAUUAAAUACCAUAUUAUUUUUUAGCAAUUUUAUAUAAAAGUUUACCAAAUACUCCAACAUUGGUUUUUUUGUUAAAAUCACUUUUACAAAUAAUAUUUACCAAACAUUCAACAACUUUAUUUUACUAUUAUUUAUUUCUAAAGCACAACAUAAAACAAUUUUAUUAAAAAAUACAGCAAUACCAAACUAGUCAUUAAGCUUUUCUUUUACUUAAUUUGGUUAUCCUUUUACUUUUGACAUCACCCAAAAGUAGAAGAUAAAAGUCUACAAUAAAAGCUCCACCCAUGCCUCUUGUAUAUCUAUCUUUCUUUUUUGAAAUUAAAAUUUCGUCACAUUAUAGUCCAAAACACAAUAUUAGUCUCACUAUGGUGAAAUUUUGUCAAAUCCGUUAAAUUGGUGUUAAUUUUGUUGAUGUAGCAGCCACAUUAACUUUUUAUUAUAGUUGAGAGACUAAAUUUAUAGACUAAAUUUUAUAAACUAAGUGACAUGAAAAUUGAUAAUUAAAUUAUUACUUAAAUAUUGAUUAACGUAUUUAUUUUUUAUUGUGACACAUCAUUUAGCUAACAAAUUUAGUCUCAUUAGCAUUACUCUUUUAUUAUACCAAGGGGUGAGACCAUCUGACACACCCCGACCUAAAUCAGGGUAUGUUGGGCGUCACGUGGGAGUGACGUAACCAUAUGCACAGUGCAGAAGCAAUAGAGAUAAAAGGGAAUUGUGAAGGAAUAAAAACCAGACUACUAGCAGAACUAGUUAAGAUAGAGUGCAAAAUACACAACCUGAGCAUAAAUAGUCUAAGUGUAGUCAAGCAGGACAAGCACUAAUAAUACAACACCCGAGGGUGAUCCUACAGGGUGAUGUUCUAUCAGAACCCCCGUUAGAAUCCUCGUGAUCCACCAAAGCACCUCUACUUAAAACCUGGAGGGGCGAAAACAGAAAGUGUGAGUGGGCAAAAACAAAGCUUUUCAAAAUCAUUUCAUUUCUCAAAAGUUCUAACCCCUCACCGUAAAACCUGUAUAAUUUCCCCAAAAAAUAAUAAUAAUAAUAAUAAUAAGUUGUAUCCGAAAUCAUACUCAAGAUGAAAAUCCAUAGAAGUAUACCAUGUCAAAGUAUCUCAAUGCAAUGCUAUAGGUAAACCAGGUAGAAUAUAUAAAUGUCAAAUAUCGCAUCAGCCAAAUCUCUUUAACUCAAACUGCACUGCUGAGUAUAUAGCUCAUAACAAAUCUCAAUCAUAUCAAAUCAAAUCAAAUCCUGCACAUGAAUCGGAACCACCUACAGUGGUCUAUAUGACAAGACUAGUUGUAAAGUAAAUAUGCUCUAGUGCUACGAUCACGUGAAGGUUGUGCGAAUAAUCGUGGGUCACCUACGAGUCGAAACCACCUAAAGUGGUUGAUGUGAGAAAUAUAUAAGCACACAAAUUAAACCCUAUUUGUGACAAUUGUAGUAAUCAUGUAAGUAGGGAUCGUUCUAACCGGGGAUUAACUAGGGGUGCUAAACACUUCACUCAAAUAAAUAAAACUAACUUUUAAAACACUAAGACAAACCAAAAGACUCAAAACAAGUUCAAAAGACUCCAAAUACUUAAAAGCAUAAAAUAAGAUAGAUUUGAACGACUAAGACUUUAACAAAUAUGGGGGGGGGGAAAUUGAGUUGUUUUUGACGAGAUUAAAUUAAAUGGACAGAUUAUAAUUAAGGGCAAAAUGUAAAUAUGAAUGCAAUGAAAAAUAUGGAUGAUGGAAUAGCUUAAGGGGUUCUUCUCCACACAUGUCACACUUGCAAUACAAGAUCGAUUCUCAGUUGGUCUUUCGAUAAAUUAUGAAACUCAACACCCUAGGUUAAUUAGGUCCGCUUAAAUUAACCGUCAAGUUCUCCUUAAGUUAAUGAAUUGGAUGGGUUUGCGCAACGCAAUUCACAACAUUCUCCAAAAGUCCUUUACGUGAAAAGCACAAUAAAGAUACAAUCAAAGAUCAUUAAGCAUCAUGAAAACUAUAAGUGUUGACGAGGCAUUCAUUACUAUGAAAAGCAUGAAACUAGUGCCAAGAAUUCAUUUAACGCGAUUGUUUAUAAGCAACCUCCACUACUUGUGAAUAUAAGUUCAUAACGAUUAGGUGAAACUCACUUAUAUUCUAGCGUCAUAUUUAUGCAUGAAAAUUACGCGUGCACUCUCAAUAAACAUACAUAAAUAAGUUAUCAAUCAAACGGUUAAACAAAU
rnacentral:lncRNA from 1 species